UGGCUCAGGACGAACGCUGGCGGCGUGCCUAACACAUGCAAGUCGAGCGAGGAGAUCCUCGGGAUGAUCCUAGCGGCGGACGGGUGAGUAACACGUGGGCAACCUGCCUCAUAGAGAGGAAUAGCCUUCCGAAAGGGAGAUUAAUACCUCAUAACAUUGCAGUUUCGCAUGAAACAGCAAUUAAAGGAGCAAUCCGCUAUGAGAUGGGCCCGCGGCGCAUUAGCUAGUUGGUGAGGUAACGGCUCACCAAGGCGACGAUGCGUAGCCGACCUGAGAGGGUGAUCGGCCACAUUGGGACUGAGACACGGCCCAGACUCCUACGGGAGGCAGCAGUGGGGAAUAUUGCACAAUGGGGGAAACCCUGAUGCAGCCAACGCCGCGUGAGUGAUGACGGCCUUCGGGUUGUAAAGCUCUGUCUUCAGGGACGAUAAUGACGGUACCUGAGGAGGAAGCCACGGCUAACUACGUGCCAGCAGCUGC
rnacentral:rRNA from 1 species